ACGGGAAUAAUAACAAUGGCUGUGGGGAUGGGACAGGGGACCCCCACACCUCCAGCCCCCCACCACCCAUUCUGUGUCAUGGCGGCCGAGUAUGGGCGGAGCAUCUGGGAAUCACGGGAUAAGGAGGGAAAUAAUGGCCACGAGGACCUGCUGGUGUUCGGGUACUCGUGCAAACUGUUCCGUGACAAUGACAAGGCAAUGUAUCUGGAGAAAGGGAGCCACUUAAUUCCCUGGAUGGGCGACAACAGCGUUAUGGUCGAUAGGUAUGAUGUGCGAGGAGCACUGUAUGACCUGUCUGAGGCUGAGUCAGGAGGAGGGGGAGACCGAUGGGAGGGUCUGACAGAAGAGGAGCGAGCAGAGGAGGAGAGGUGUGAUUAUGAGCGUUACCUGGCUCUCUACCAUGACGAGUUUCAGUACCAGGCCUUCCAAGAUGAAGAGGCCAAGCGUUUGAUGGCUGAACUUGGCUCUGACACCUACACCUACAGCCAGGUUGGCUUCAAUUAUGAUGGGCAAGCCAUGGCAGGGGACAUGACUGGUGUGAGUGGUGAGCAAGGGUCUGAAUACCUUGAACACUACCAGAUGCAGCAGGGUGAGCAGCAACAGGAGCAACAACAGGAGCAGAGCUCAGGAUACAUGCCAGAAGCAGAUGAGGACACUUACGUCCCUCCUGCUGAGCUUAAUGUCCCACAAGGAAUGGUGGUGCCUGAAACUAUUAAGCAAAACAAAAUCAUUGUGAAGACUUCCAAGUUCAUUGUGGCACAAGGAGGCCAAAUGGAGAUCAUCAUAAAGACAAAGCAGGCAGACAAUCCAAUGUUUGGUUUUCUAUCUUUUGACAAUCCAUUGAAUGCCUACUACAAGCACAUGGUUGCUAUGAUCAAGAGUGGAAGAUACACUCCAGCUGAUGAAGCUGAUCAAGUCAGAUCCAGGAAAGAUAGUGAUGGCAAUGGUGACCAGUACUUGCACCCAAGUCUCUCAGCUGGCAUCAAGCCAGACCUUGCUCCAGGGACGCCUACCUCAGCCCUCAAGCCCUCUUCAGACUGUGCAUAUUUCAAGCUCAUCCAUAAAAUUAAAGAGAAGCAAAAGAACACAACUGUUGUUGAAAGCCGUGAGUCCCCAGCACCAGCCUCUCCUGGCGUUGUUGCAACCUCCACACCUGUUGCUGAACGCUCAGACACACCCACAUUGGAGAAGAAAGUGGAAAAUAAAGCAACACCCCAACCCAAAGUGAAGCAGCUGGUGGAUUACCCAUCUUUCAACCGCACCAGGGAUUAUGACUCGGACUCAGAUGAUGGGUCUGAGUCCUCCCCUUCUGCCAGUAAGGGCGCCAGUGAAUACAGCAACAUCAAGUGGCCACCACCAGAUGUACAGAUGGUGAUUGACAAGAUGGCCAGUUACAUCAUCAAAAAUGGUGUUGAGUUUGAAACGAUGGUGCGAAGUAGAGAUGAUCCUAGGUUUAGCUUUUUGAAGAAGGACCACGAGUACUAUCCAUACUACCGAUGCAAGAUACGCCUCUACACUGAGGUGUAUGGCGAUAUUUUUAAGGAUGGAGUUGAGGAUAAAGCAUCAUCCUUGAGUAGCCUUGUAGAAGGAAACUCUAGUAGCAGGAAGGACAAGCGUGGAGGCAACAGCAGUAGUAGCAACAGUAGCAGGAGUAGUAACAAUAACAAUGGCAACAAGCAGACUUCAACUAUAUGCUUCUCCAUCAAGUCAAGGGAGCAAGAUGUCAAUUUGGACAGGCACUCCACCUUCCCUGUGGAGUCAUCGUCCUCUGAUGAUGAGGACAUGGAUGAGGAGGAGAAAGAGAAGAGGCGGUUGGAGCGGGAGGAGAGGAGAAGGAAACGAAAAAUAAAGGAAAAGGAGGAGAGGGAGAGACGUGAGAAAGAGGAGAAAGAGCGGAAGGAGAGAGAGGAGAGGGAAAAGGAGAAAGAGAAGGAAAAGGCUAUUGAGAAAAUGGAGGAAUCAACAGAUGCUUCUGGUGAUAACGAUGACAUGUAUGACAUCUUCAAAUAUGCUCAGGAAAUGGAUAAAGACAUGGACACUGAAGAAUGCAACCACAGAGAGAAGGUGCUUAGUGAAGAGCAAGGGAAGGAGAGCUCCCAUCUGCCCAGUGAUGGGAUGGCACGUUCUGAAUGCAAGCAGCAGGAACGGAGGAAGAAAGCAGCCAUGUUCCUCUCCCGGUUAAAGAAAGGAAGCAGAGAGGAUGAGAGCACUGCCCAGCCUGUUUAUGGCCCCCAGCUUCCACCUGAGAUAGCAGCUCAGAUCCUGAACUCUGCAUCACAGUCACCUCGAUCAUCCCUGGCCAGCACUCGUCACUCCACCCCAUCAAGGUCACGCUCUCACUCUGCCAGUCCAGGUCCAGGGGUCCCCAUGCCACCCAAGGAGGCUCCUGCACCUCCUCCCCCUCCACCCCCUGCACAGUCACCGCCAGCCCCAAGUGGACUGGAGAUGACUGAAACAUAUAGAACCAACAGAACUGAAACAAGUACAAACAGCAUAUCUAAAAAUGAUUGGACCUCCAUUCCAGAGCCUCCGGCCAACACUGAAACUGUUGAACAUGUGAAAUCUGGUACUCCUAAAGAGUCUUCAGUAUUGUCGGAUGUGUUGCAGUGGCUCUCUGCUGUUAUUUCGCCGAGGGCGGCCGUGCAGGUGUAGGAGCCAGUGAGGACGGCCGUAGGAGUCAAAGUCUGGAAAGCAGGAGAAGCAAAUCCCGGCCCAUAGAAGUACCUCACCGGGAAAAAACUCGGAGUCGCAAGAAGCAGCGCCAUGGGCGGUCAGAAAGCCGCUCCCCAAGUAGUCGCAGGGAACGCAAGAAGAGAAAGAGGUCAAGGUCAAGGUCACGAAGGCACAAGAAGCGCCGCUCACGCUCCAGAUCACCAAAAUCACACAAGUCAUCCCACAAGAAGAAGCGACGCAAGCAUAGUUCUCGUCAUGAGAGGGAAGGAAGGGAGCGAAAGAGCAAAAAGUCUCGCAGACGCAGUGUUUCCUCAUCUUCAUCAGACUCUUCAAGUCACUCAUACUCUUCGUCCAGAUCAACAUCACCAUCAGAUAAUGAUGUGCAGGUCAUUGAGUCACCAGGACACAGCAAAAGAGGAUCAAGAGCUUCCAGUGUGAUCAGUGUUGGAACCACUGACCUCUCUCACUUAAGCUCAGCUCUUGGCAGAAUAACUGAGGAGUGUACAUCUCCUCCUUUGCCUCCCAUUCCUCCAAGUCCAGCUGCUGCCAGUCUGCUCUCCACUGUGGAAGAAAAGGCAGUUAACAAUGAUAGUGUUCUUGAAGUAACUGGAGGUGGAGGAGAGGAAACUAAGGAAGACAAGAAGGAAGAGAAGAAGCCAUUGUUUGAUCCCCAGAACAGUGCAGCAAUGGCAAAAAUAGCACAGGGUUUACGUGCCAAGGUGCAUGCUCUGCUGAACAAGGAAAGCAAAUUGUGAAAAUAAAAAAAUACUGUCAUAUCUCAUUAAAUGGGAUAAGGAAAAUAAUGUGAUAGCAUUUAUUUUUGUGAUACCACAUUGUAAGCCUGAAGUUCCAGUUUUUUUUUUUUUUUAUAAAUAGAAGGCAUUGCUAUCCUAAUAACUACUAAUGUACAAGAAAAUUUUUCCACUACAACAAAUAAACACCAUAAAUGUAUUUCAAAGUUUCUUACUGUUACAUGAGUUUUAUAAGUAAUAUAUGCAUAGAUUAUUAACCUUCCAUAGUAAUAGAGGUUCCAUACAAAUUUUAUACAAACACUGAUGCUCAACUGUGUGUAGCAACGGAAGGAUGAGAAAAGCAGAUGUAGUGCUAUCUUUAAGGGAACACUUCAGGCAUGGCCCAAGGGAAGGGAAACAUUUUUAUAACAAAAGAGGGUAACCCAGGGAAGACAUCACACCUUGUUUUAUUACAGAAGCAAAGACAGUGACAAUGACUCCUUUGCUGGGUAAAAUUGUAGACAUAGAGGUUCCACAAUUGUAUAUUGGUAUAACAUCAGUUACUGACAUCAUUGUAAUCCAUGUAGAAAGGUGGUGUCUGUAAACAAAAAGUAAAUUGUGAUGUAUUUUAUGAACCAAAGGCAGAUACUUGAAUGGAAUGAACGAGUCCUGAUAAUGUUGGUUUAUGGUUGCCUGUCAGUGAUAGUUUUGCUUGUAAUAUUCCAGGCUGAUUUUCCAGGCAGAACUACAAACAUAUAUUGUGGAA